rnacentral:tRNA from 1 species
GCCAGCAUGGCGGAAUUGGUAGACGCACCAUCUCAAUGGUCCCCGAUCGCUGAUCGCGGGUGCCGGUUCGAUCCCGGUCGCUGGCA